rnacentral:tRNA from 1 species
GGCCAGUUAGCUCAGUUGAGCGUAGCGCUAAUAACGCUAAGGUAGCGGGUUCGUUUCCCGUUUGGUCC